rnacentral:rRNA from 1 species
UACGGAGGGUGCAAGCGUUAUCCGGAUUUACUGGGUUUAAAGGGUGCGUAGGUGGGUCUGUAAGUCAGUGGUGAAAUCUCCGGGCUUAACUCGGAAAGGUCAACUGAUACUGUGCGACUAGAGUGCAGAAGGGGCAACUGGAAUUCUUGGUGUAGCGGUGAAAUGCGUAGAUAUCAAGAGGAACACCUGCGGCGAAGGCGGGUUGCUGGGCUGACACUGACGCUGAAGCGCGAAAGCCAGGGGAGCGAACGGG